rnacentral:rRNA from 1 species
UACGGGGGGGGCAAGCGUUGUUCGGAAUUACUGGGCGUAAAGCGUGCGCAGGCGGCUCCUUAAGUCAGAUGUGAAAUCCCCGGGCUUAACCUGGGAACUGCGUUUGAAACUGAGGGGCUAGAGUGUGGAAGAGGGGGGUGGAAUUCCAGGUGUAGCAGUGAAAUGCGUAGAGAUCUGGAGGAACACCGAUGGCGAAGGCAGCCCCCUGGGCUAACACUGACGCUCAUGCACGAAAGCGUGGGGAGCGAACAGG